rnacentral:lncRNA from 1 species
CUAGUCUCUCAUAGAAACUUCUGGCCUCUGGACACUGUGGGAGCAACUUUUCCUUUAUUAGACUGUCUCCUCUUUAACUGUACCUAGAAGAUACUUUAGCACAGCAAGCAUCUCUUUUAUGCUUACAUUAUGCAGUUAUGCAGACUUGGUGAGAUAGACCAGUGCAAUGGACCUCAUAACCACAUACAAUCUAGUUUUAUGGGGAAACUCCUUGUAUAAAAGAAUAUUGCAGCAUGACUGGGAAGCCUGUCCUUCAUUACUUCAAUUGAAGAAGAAGAAUGGAGUCCAUCCGGUGGCUCCUGGCAGCAGCUGGAGUAGAGUUUGAGGAAGAACUUUUUGAAACCCAUGAAGAGUUUGAGAAGUUAAUCCAAGGUGGAACCCUGAUGUACGAGCAAGUGCCCAUGGUGGAAAUCGAUGGAAUGACUUUGGUGCAGACCAGUGCCAUCUUAAGAUAUGUAGCUGCAAAAUAUGACUUGUAUGGAAGGAACCUGGAGGAACAAGCCUGGAUUGAUAUGUAUGUAGAGGGCUUAAGAGACCUGAGCGACAUGAUAAUGUACUUUCCACUCUCUCUGCCAGAAGAGAAGGAGAUGAACCUUGAAUACAUCCUCCACCGAGCUACAACAAGAUUCUUCCCCGUUUAUGAGAAGGCCCUGAGAGACCACGGGCAAGACUUUCUUGUGGGCAAUCGGCUGAGCUUGGCUGAUGUCCAGCUCCUUGAAGUCAUCUUAAUGGCUGAAGAAUGCAAAGCCAGUGUUCUCUCGGGUUUCCCUCUGCUACAGGACUUCAAGGUGAGAACCAGCCAAAUUCCUACAAUUAACAGCUUCCUCCAACCUGGAAGCCAGAGGAAGCCUCCUUUGGAGGAGCGAUCCAUUGGGACUGCAAAGGACAUAUUCAAAUUUGAAUGAGGACUGUUUCUUAAAAACAUGAGCAAUAUAGUAGCUGAGUAUUAACAGCUACAGAGGCUGGAGUUACUCAGUAAGUAUACUGAGUAACUUGACACUGCAUUCAUAAAAAGACACUCACUAAGUAUAUGGCCAGAGAAAUAUCCUGAAGUUAGUAAUAAAUGUUAGGAAUCUUAGUAUGUUAGCAAUGUUAGAAUGUUAGUAAUGGAAAUAUUAAAUGUGUAAGAGAAAAACUACUAGAAGCUUAUCAAUAAACUACAAGAACCAACUCUUGUUUGAAGUAAGACAGGCUACCAAGACAGAAUUCAGAAAAUCCAAGGAGCCCUCGGCCUUCUGUAUGAUCCUAGAAUAAACUUGUAUGUAGCAAGU